CCUACGGGAGGCAGCAGUGGGGAAUUUUGGACAAUGGGCGCAAGCCUGAUCCAGCAAUGCCGCGUGAGUGAAGAAGGCCUUCGGGUUGUAAAGCUCUUUUGUCAGGGAAGAAACGGCUGAGGCUAAUACCUUCGGCUAAUGACGGUACCUGAAGAAUAAGCACCGGCUAACUACGUGCCAGCAGCCGCGGUAAUACGUAGGGUGCAAGCGUUAAUCGGAAUUACUGGGCGUAAAGCGUGCGCAGGCGGUUUUGUAAGUCUGACGUGAAAUCCCCGGGCUCAACCUGGGAAUUGCGUUGGAGACUGCAAGGCUGGAGUCUGGCAGAGGGGGGUAGAAUUCCACGUGUAGCAGUGAAAUGCGUAGAGAUGUGGAGGAACACCGAUGGCGAAGGCAGCCCCCUGGGUCAAGACUGACGCUCAUGCACGAAAGCGUGGGGAGCAAACAGGAUUAGAUACCCUGGUAGUCCACGCCCUAAACGAUGUCUACUAGUUGUCGGGUCUUAAUUGACUUGGUAACGCAGCUAACGCGUGAAGUAGACCGCCUGGGGAGUACGGUCGCAAGAUUAAAACUCAAAGGAAUUGACGGCUGAGAGNGACGACGACGACGACGAGGGAGGAGG
rnacentral:rRNA from 1 species